rnacentral:rRNA from 1 species
CCUACGGGAGGCAGCAGUGAGGAAUAUUGGUCAAUGGCCGCAGGGCUGAACCAGCCAAGUCGCGUGAGGGAUGACGGUCCUAUGGAUUGUAAACCUCUUUUGUCAGGGAGCAAAGGGCGCCACGUGUGGCGCUUUGCGAGUACCUGAAGAAAAAGCAUCGGCUAACUCCGUGCCAGCAGCCGCGGUAAUACGGAGGAUGCGAGCGUUAUCCGGAUUUAUUGGGUUUAAAGGGUGCGCAGGCGGAAUGUCAAGUCAGCGGUAAAAUUUCGGGGCUCAACCCCGUCGUGCCGUUGAAACUGGAGUUCUUGAGUGAGCGAGAAGUAUGCGGAAUGCGUGGUGUAGCGGUGAAAUGCAUAGAUAUCACGCAGAACUCCGAUUGCGAAGGCAGCAUACCGGCGCUCAACUGACGCUCAUGCACGAAAGCGUGGGUAUCGAACAGGAUUAGAUACCCCGGUAGUC